CAAGAUCACAUGGCUGCUCAUUUCAAGAAACUGAUGUCUGCCAAAGCUGCUGUUGAUUCAUCUGCACCGAAGAGUUUGCAUACCAGUGUUAAAUGUUAGCUCCAGAAAUGUCUGUCUUGGCAAAAGAAGUUUUAUCCCUUGAAGAAAAAAACUCAAAAUUUAAAUGCACAAUGAAAAUGUGCAUCAGAACUUACAUCUUCUGAAGCAUUAAGUAGGGCAGUAGCACAA